UGACCAUUGCACAUCAAACAAUAACAUGAUAUAACCAGAGUUGACGUUCCAUGAUUUUGAGACCGGGGAAAUUAAAUUGAGAGAAAUGUUUGAGAUACGUACCUGGACUAUUAUGCACACGUGCUGAUAGACAAAGCUACUUUAGUAGCCAAAUCGCCGUUCAACCUUGAUUGACAGCCGGUGGCCUCGAACACUGAUUUUCGCUUUUUUCAUUGCUGUUGAUAUUGCCUAAAGUUUAAAAUUGUUCUGACAAUUGUUAUAGAAUCGCUUGAAUUUACUGAUAUAAGUUCAUAAAGGAAGUUACUGAAUUAUUUACAGAAAGUAUUUAAAUGAUUCGCUAAAAAAAAAAAAAAGUUUUUUAAAUUCUUCUAUUUUUCUAUUUCCUAACGUACUAGAAUAAUUCUGACAAAUGGUAUAGAACCGCUUGAAUUUGCUAAACAUAUUGUCCCAAGAGGGGAUUGCUCAAUCAUUUCUAAGAAAAUACCUAAACAAAUCGCUGAACAGAUUCGAAUUACAUGCCGGAGAGGCACACACGUAACUGAAACCACAUUACUGAUAAGAUCUUUCUGUGCGAGGGUGGGGGCGAGAGAACUCUGAGCUAGCACUACAGUACAUCCCAGAUAUCGAACAGAGACGGGCUGAGUAUACAAAGAUAGAAAUAAACCACACAAAGGACUGACUAAAACCUAGAUAACGCAUUAUACACAUUAUCUGACGAAUUAGAUAAAAUGUCUGCAGCCACCACGCCCAAAACUCAAAUUCAAUGAAUAUUUAGAUCAGAGUAUGAUUGACAGAGCGGGAGGUAAAGAACAGUAUCGGAAAGUGGAGAAAGUGUGGAAAGGAUUAAGGCUAAAAUGGACACAAGCAGGUUACUUUAGCGGAGGACCCCUACAUGGGGGAAACUCCAAGAUAUGCAAAAAGAACUAGAGGACGCAGUAGAGCAUGCAAAAGCGAGUGAGACGGAGAGAAACAAGAUACACAUGUUCAAAAAAGUAGGCACGAGAGAGAGAAAGCUGGCAGAAGCAGAAUUGAAUGUAGGAACAUGGGCUAUAGAAGUGUGUAGGAGGAUGCAGCCCAAAAACAAACCAGAUAUGAUGUGCGUGGCUUCUGCGUUGUCGGGGGAUGUUAUAGCUCCGCCUGAGAACUUGCCCACGGCUCCCCCUGAGGCCGUUUCUCCCCCGCCAUACUCAAAGGGACAAAAUCACCGGAGCCCGUCACACAACCCAUUCCUGCCCAGGGCACCUCCCACAAUACAGGCUCCAGUUCUGAGAAUAGACCAAGGGGAGUUAAAAGGGGAAAUGACACUGGGGAUAACGGGUGGCCAUAUUGUAUGUGAACAGCUCGAAACUGGGACUCCAGGCGCAGGAGGCCUCCCCCAGGAACGGAGGCCGCAAUGCUCCUCUGUGAACUCGCUCACCUCUGAAACCAGAGGACACCUACAAACAAGAUUAGAUUCAAACCACUUCUAUCAGACGGAUAGGGAGGACUGUCAUCAGAACAUGGAUAUCGAAAACGAAGAAGAAAUUGACAUGGUGCUCACCCCAGCUCCGAUGGGAGCUCCAAACGUGACUAAGAUGCAGGACCUGCUGAAAUCAUCAAUAGCUCGAGCUAAGGAACUCAGGGAGCUUAUAGCUAACCAAGAUAACAACAGAGAGGGAGCAUACUGUGCAGAAGGCAUAAUGAGAGGAACAGUAACCGAAGUCACUGAGUCAAUAGGGUCCGAAACACUCCGUCGGUCCUCCAGAAUCGCUGAUAGAAGAGAGCGAGAGCAGGAGAUGGCAGGACAGUACCCCUGCGACCGACACCAGGUGAUGCACACACUUUGGAGUACCAGCCCUGGAAAAUGACUGAUUUAACAACACUGAUGGAACAGAUGCCUAGCCUACAUGGAGGAGCUUCAGCGUGGCUACUUCAACUGCAGACACUUACUUCAGCUGACCUUGGAUGGCGGGCCCCAACACUGCCCAUAGACCACUUCCGUACCAGAUUAUGGGAAGUUCUACGGAGAGCAUACCCUACAGAAAGAAACCAUGCCACCUUAUCCUCCUUUACAAUCAACCCAGGUGAGCAACCUGCAGCAUACCUGGACAGGGCUAAGACCACAUGGAGAUCGGUCCACGAAGAACCAUUCGAUCACACUGAUACCACACUCAGCAUGUGGAAGGAAAUGGUGGUGAACGGGUGUCCUGGAGAUGUUAAAACCAAACUCAGAGGAACAGUGGGGUUGAUUGCACUUCCUCUGACCCAAUUCAAUACGCAUGUGCACCACCAUGUAUCCCAACACAACAAGGAAAGAGGGGGUGCUGAGAGCCAGGUGCAGUCCCUCCAGGACCAACUCCUGUGAGGGCGUGAAACGGAACCUUGGAUUUUCCAUCUUAGGAGACAAGAAAAAUACUAUUAUCAUGACUGAGGAGUGCAGUGACAAGUGACAGCAUAACCAUAUUAGAUACAUAUAAAGGAACUUACGUUUGAUAGGUCUGCUAGGAGGAGGACAGCAGUGGGGGGUUAUGGGUAAGAUUAGGGUGAUU
ensembl:lncRNA